UACGGAGGGGGCUAGCGUUGUUCGGAAUUACUGGGCGUAAAGCGCGCGUAGGCGGACCUGCAAGUCGGGGGUGAAAGCCCGAGGCUCAACCUCGGAACUGCCUUCGAUACUGCGGGUCUCGAGUCCGGGAGAGGUGAGUGGAAUUCCUAGUGUAGAGGUGAAAUUCGUAGAUAUUAGGAAGAACACCAGUGGCGAAGGCGGCUCACUGGCCCGGUACUGACGCUGAGGCGCGAAAGCGUGGGGAGCAAACAGGAUUAGAUACCC
rnacentral:rRNA from 1 species